rnacentral:ncRNA from 2 species
UCCUUAUCAAGAGUCGGGGGAGGAACCUGGUCCUGAGAUCCCGCAGCAACCGUUACGAUGUAACAAGGUGCUAAGUCCAGCAAGCGUAUGCUUGAAAGAUGAGGG